ensembl:lncRNA
AGGUGAGUCCUGCGGCGGCUGCGCACAGCCCCCCGCCCCGCCCCAGGUUCCCGCACGCUCCGCAAAAAAACCUCGGCUCAGCGAGCUCGGACGCGGGGCCUGAGCGGGGCUCGCGGAGGUCACGCGCGCUCCAAAGAUGCGAGCAGAGCCGACGGGCCUCUUAGAGGCGAACCCGGCGCAGAAAGAUAUGCAUGAAUCAUACUCCGUUCCAUUUGGAGAACCAUCCAUACCCAUUUGGAGAAGGACACUGAGUGGUCACUGCUUGAGAUCAUGGUCUCUGGCUGAGGAGCAGCGUGGAAGAACUGACCUGAGAAUCAGGAUGCCAGGGUGCUGGGCCCUGACACUGCCGGGGACUGACUGUGUGGCCUGAGGCAAGUCAACAGCCCCUCCUCUGAGUUUCUUCAUCCGUAAAAUGGGGGUAUUUCACUAGAUAAGCUUAAGACCAACCCUAUUGAAGAUCCAUCAUUUUCAACUCUAGCAUAUCGUGAUCUUGAAUGCCCA